CUCUGAAAUAUUGUUGUUGUUGUUGUUUGAAAAAUAUAUAUAAAUGACCCUUACCUCAGAGUUAUGGAGAAUAGAUUAAAAGUGCUGCAGGGGAGACAUGGGUGAGUUAGCUCAGACUAACAAAUUUAGGAAGGGACGAGGAAAAAGGGGACCACACAGGCCAAAAAGUGAGUGUGUGGAGGUUUGUUUGCCCCUGUGCAAGGGGAAAGGAAGGACAUGAAUGAGGGAAAUGAGUUGGGUGUUGAUAAAUAUGUUGAAACAUCUGACCUCAACUUUUGGAGUUAAGAGUACAGUCUUUACAGACUAUUCAAAAUAAUUCUGGCUUUUCUUUCUCUUUCUCUUGCUUUUCUCAAUGAAAUCCUUAUGAAGUAUGUACUAAAAACAGGGCUGUGAGUUUCAAGAGGGCAGAGGCAUGUCUGUUCACUUCUUUGUGACUAGGACCUAGCUCAGUGCCUGAACCACGGUAGAUUCUCACCACCUGUUUGAUUCUGAUGAAUUCACUGAGAACACCGACUCAUUGGCACAGGCAGCACCUCCUUAAGAGUUUUCUUUUAAACCACCUUAGCAUUUAUGUGCUCCAACCUCAAAGCAACACCUGUCAAGUUUCUCUCCUCUGGCUAGUUCUCAGCCAAGUUGUCACCCACUUGGAAGAGAGUGAAACUAAAAUAGUUUAUUACCAUCUACUGCGCUACUAAGUACUGGACACUGUGUUAGGUGAGUAAAUUGAUUCUUUAAAUUAAUCCUUACAAUAAGAAUAUAAAGUGGGCUUUGUUUUAUAAAUAAAGAAAUCAACACUCAGAGAGAUUAAAUAACGACGUCUUAUGACUAGUAUGUAUGGAUCGAUUUCAAAGUCCAAGUUCUUUUCAUUAUGAAUGCAACACUUUCUUUUCCCCUCCCACUUUUAUAGCUCUAUUGUCUGUAAUCACUGUCAAGGUUGUAUCACCAUGAGGCCUGUUCUUCCCGAAAAGUCUCUAUCAUUCUCCAUGACCAUUAGCAAGUUUUGAGAGUAAGCACUAAUGUAUUACUGUCUUAGUCCAUUUUCUGCUGCUGUAGCAGAAUACCAUAGUCUGGACACUGUACAAAGCAAAGG
rnacentral:lncRNA from 1 species